rnacentral:rRNA from 1 species
AACGAACGCUGGCGGCAUGCCUAACACAUGCAAGUCGAACGAAGGCUCCGGCCUUAGUGGCGCACGGGUGCGUAACGCGUGGGAAUCUGCCCUUAGGUUCGGAAUAACAGCUGGAAACGGCUGCUAAUACCGGAUGAUAUCGCGAGAUCAAAGAUUUAUCGCCUGAGGAUGAGCCCGCGUUGGAUUAGGUAGUUGGUGGGGUAAAGGCCUACCAAGCCGACGAUCCAUAGCUGGUCUGAGAGGAUGAUCAGCCACACUGGGACUGAGACACGGCCCAGACUCCUACGGGAGGCAGCAGUGGGGAAUAUUGGACAAUGGGCGAAAGCCUGAUCCAGCAAUGCCGCGUGAGUGAUGAAGGCCCUAGGGUUGUAAAGCUCUUUUACCCGGGAAGAUAAUGACUGUACCGGGAGAAUAAGCCCCGGCUAACUCCGUGCCAGCCGCCGCGGUAA